rnacentral:rRNA from 1 species
UACGGAGGGUGCAAACGUUGCUCGGAAUCAUUGGGCGUAAAGCGCACGUAGGCGGUCCAGCAAGUCGCGUGUGAAAGCCCCCGGCUCAACUGGGGAGGGUCACGCGAUACUGAUCGACUCGAAGGCAGGAGAGGGUAGUGGAAUUCCCGGUGUAGUGGUGAAAUGCGUAGAUAUCGGGAGGAACACCAGUGGCGAAGGCGACUACCUGGCCUGUUCUUGACGCUGAGGCGCGAAAGCUAGGGGAGCAAACGGG